CAGGAAUCUACAGCAAGACUUUGUCUGGUAAUGGAUGCUCAAAGGGAUGACCCCUAUCACUUAGACUACCUGUCAGAACACAACAGAUGACGGAACUUAGAGCUAGUGCUUUAUCCUAUUAUCCCUCACAGGUCCUUACUGCCAUAUUAGGCACUAUAGGGCUUUUUACCCUGUGCCUGCCUGGGGUGCUACCCCUAUUACCAUGAUGCUUUUUGGAGGUCGCCCUGUGGCCACCUCUGUGAUCCUGGGUGAGGCCCAG